UGAGCAGCAGUCCUAUGCUUGCUUAUUUUGGAGUAAAUUGUAUGUAUCCAGUGAAAUUUACUGCAGAAUAAGCAAGCAUAAGAUUGCCGCUCA